GCAGAUUGGUGAUCCACACUCGACCGGAACAUGCUUAACGAGAAGGGAAGAGUGCCGUAGGGGGGACGAAGAAGCUGUCGGCAUCGUAGGGGAGCUUGCUAACUAAUAAACUACUUUAUCUAAUCACCAAAACAUUACUUUUCAACUGCAUCAUUUACUGCCACGUCGACGUACGCUACUGGGUCCCGCUUGUUGUCAUCAGCUGAUCGUGAUUUCCUACUUUUUUAUGGGCUUGAUGGCCCACUGUUCUGUCCCCGUG
rnacentral:lncRNA from 1 species